AUUGAACGCUGGCGGCAGGCCUAACACAUGCAAGUCGAACGGUAGCAGGAAGAAGCUUGCUUCUUUGCUGACGAGUGGCGGACGGGUGAGUAAUGUCUGGGAAACUGCCCGAUGGAGGGGGAUAACUACUGGAAACGGUAGCUAAUACCGCAUAACGUCUUCGGACCAAAGAGGGGGACCUUCGGGCCUCUUGCCAUCGGAUGUGCCCAGAUGGGAUUAGCUAGUAGGUGGGGUAACGGCUCACCUAGGCGACGAUCCCUAGCUGGUCUGAGAGGAUGACCAGCCACACUGGAACUGAGACACGGUCCAGACUCCUACGGGAGGCAGCAGUGGGGAAUAUUGCACAAUGGGCGCAAGCCUGAUGCAGCCAUGCCGCGUGUAUGAAGAAGGCCUUCGGGUUGUAAAGUACUUUCAGCGGGGAGGAAGGUGUUGAGGUUAAUAACCUCAGCAAUUGACGUUACCCGCAGAAGAAGCACCGGCUAACUCCGUGCCAGCAGCCGCGGUAAUACGGAGGGUGCAAGCGUUAAUCGGAAUUACUGGGCGUAAAGCGCACGCAGGCGGUCUGUCAAGUCGGAUGUGAAAUCCCCGGGCUCAACCUGGGAACUGCAUUCGAAACUGGCAGGCUUGAGUCUCGUAGAGGGGGGUAGAAUUCCAGGUGUAGCGGUGAAAUGCGUAGAGAUCUGGAGGAAUACCGGUGGCGAAGGCGGCCCCCUGGACGAAGACUGACGCUCAGGUGCGAAAGCGUGGGGAGCAAACAGGAUUAGAUACCCUGGUAGUCCACGCCGUAAACGAUGUCUACUUGGAGGCUGUGGUCUUGAACCGUGGCUUCCGGAGCUAACGCGUUAAGUAGACCGCCUGGGGAGUACGGCCGCAAGGUUAAAACUCAAAUGAAUUGACGGGGGCCCGCACAAGCGGUGGGGCAUGUGGUUUAAUUCGAUGCAACGCGAAGAACCUUACCUACUCUUGACAUCCAGAGAACUUAGCAGAGAUGCUUUGGUGCCUUCGGGAACUCUGAGACAGGUGCUGCAUGGCUGUCGUCAGCUCGUGUUGUGAAAUGUUGGGUUAAGUCCCGCAACGAGCGCAACCCUUAUCCUUUGUUGCCAGCGAUUCGGUCGGGAACUCAAAGGAGACUGCCAGUGAUAAACUGGAGGAAGGUGGGGAUGACAUCAAGUCAUCAUGGCCCUUACGAGUAGGGCUACACACGUGCUACAAUGGCGCAUACAAAGAGAAGCGACCUCGCGAGAGCAAGCGGACCUCAUAAAGUGCGUCGUAGUCCGGAUUGGAGUCUGCAACUCGACUCCAUGAAGUCGGAAUCGCUAGUAAUCGUGGAUCAGAAUGCCACGGUGAAUACGUUCCCGGGCCUUGUACACACCGCCCGUCACACCAUGGGAGUGGGUUGCAAAAGAAGUAGGUAGCUUAACCUUCGGGAGGGCGCUUACCACUUUGUGAUUCAUGACUGGGGUG
rnacentral:rRNA from 1 species